CCAUGCCGACCCUGGCAUGGGUGAGUGGGAGGGCGACAGUGACAGAAAGAGAGAGUGACAGUGAGAGAAAGAGAUUUCAGGGAUUUUGGGGGGGGGGGGAGAGUGAUGUCAGGGAUUGGUAAUCCUAUCCCGUGUUUUCCCCUCAUCUCUGUCACACUUAACCUCUCUCUAACCCUUUCUCUCUCACUCUCUUGACUCCCUUUCUCCCAACUCUCCAUCUCUCUCAACUUUAGUCCUAACCCUUAUUUGUUCUUUCAUUCCUCAAUUUUCUCCAUCCGAGCAAUGAAAAAUCGAACUGGGUUUUCAGAUUAUUGAUGCAAAGGGAUUCACGGACAGAGAAGGGAGAGGGAGAGAGAGUUGAUUGAGGGAGUUGGUGAGUAUGGGCUUGCACAGAGGGAAGAACGCAGAGUGAGAGAACGAUUGCACAGAUACAAGGAGAGAGACAGAGAGAGAGAUCAUAGAAAGAGGAGGAUGACGAAAAUUGAGGAGGAACCCAUGCCUGCAGAGAGUGAGUAGUUGUGCCAAAAACCUACCAGAAAUAUACUUCAAGAAAGGUUUUUACUACAGGAUGGAUAGAUGGAGAAAAGUUAUCUCAGAGUACUGAAAGUGAUGUUGGAGAACUGGUUAACGUUGGAGUCAUAUGUUACUUGAAGCAGUUGCUUGAUACUGGAAUGUUUCAUGCUGAUCCUCAUCCUGGGAAUAUGAUUCGCACUCCAGAUGGGAAGCCUGCCAUACUUGACUUCGGAGAAGCAAGAAAUACAAUUAAAAAAGCCAUGCGUAAUAAGCGGAAAUGUAUCACCACUGUGAAAGGGCUGCAAUUUUUUGGACUAGAAUUCGUUUAUUCGGGCAUCAGCCUUUCCAUCCUUGAGUUGUUCUCGGAGCAUUUGUUCUACCAGUGUUUUCCUGCCUUCUUUCGUCCAGGCUGAAGCAAUUUUGUUGCUGACCUUCGCCCACAUUCCAGCUCCGCCCUGGUGAGGCAGAUAGAGGGAGAGAGGGAAAUUGUGGUUUCAAGACCUCUCGCUUCUGUUCUUGGAAGGUAAGUCAAAGAAAGCUAAGAAAAGAAAAAGAAGGCAGGAGAGCAGCUCAAGAGGAAUAUCAAGUAUGAUUCUUGAAUUUGAAACAUUGCUUUGUAUCUGAGUUAUCACAGUUUCAUGGCACAAGAAAGCUUUGUAAAAGAAAAGGAGGGAUCUUGAUUCUUCAAAGUCCACAAAGACAAUGGAAACGAAAGUAGAAGCUGAUCCAACAACAAUGUUUUUAAAAGCACUCUGUAUUCAUGAUUUGAGAUAGGGCAUCAGAGGUUGAUCCUUAUCAAAUUUGGAAUCGGCCAUCCCCAAAAUCGUAUCCACCCGAUACCCUAAAAACUCCCGUCGUUUUCCUAAAAAUUGCUGCUGCUGGUGGCUUGGAUUCAGCUGAAUCUCACAAGAAGUGUGCAUUCUAUACAUCGUCUUCAAAUAGCGCCCAUCACUUGGAUUCUUUUUGUAUUGAGCAUUGCCAUUGUCACCACGCUCUUUUUCGUCGCCUUGAAGCCGGAAGAAGUCGUCCAAGAAGCAAGACAAGAAAAAAAAGCGGAGGGGGAGGCGGGGAGGGACUCACAAUCAGCCUACUACACCUGCGCCAACACCUCAAGCUACUCCUCCUGCACACGCAUCUGAGAGUGAGUAUCAAAAUCCAAGUGAGUGAUCACUCGUUGACGAUGAAGAUUGUCCAAGUGAACAAUUAGGGGAAAGCGAGUAAGUAAGUCCAAGUGACUCAUCAGUCCUUGACGACACAGAUUGUGAAAUUGAAUCAAGGGACGAGCCUGCCCAUACAUUGCCUCGUAAGCAGUUCAUGUUGAAUGUAGUGAAGCAUCGGUACCUUGCCAAGAAAUUAAAAGGAAAGGUAUGUAUCUAAUUUCCAUCUGUGAUUUGCUUGCAUUUGACUAAUCAUUUCUACUACUCUCAAUACAAAACAAGUUGUCUGGUCAUAUGUUUCUGAAGAAAUUUGAAUGUUCGUUUGCGUGCCAAUUAACUUCCAAAGUAAUUGAAUUCAUGAAUAUUAUGAGAAGAAUUGUCAGGUUGUCAACCAUAUGUUUUGCCACUAGUCACACAUAUUUUAAUGUUCUCUAGUUUACCUAUUGGUUAGGUUGGUUAUAAGGCAUUUGUUGGCAUAGUAAGGUUUGUUAAUUUGAUUUUAUAUGUCUACAUAUUUUAAUGUUCUCUAGUUUACCUAUUCUUUAGGAUGAUUUUGUAGACCUUCAACCUAUAUUUUAAUGUUAUAUUAUUUAUUAGUUUUAUCUUGGCUAUUUGAAUUCAUAUUACUGGUGCAAAUAUUAUCCCGUAUGAAAUUGAAUAUGAAGGUGACCACUACACUUUCACAACACCGAGACAAGUAACAUUAUACUUUGAAGACGGAGAAAGAACAAAGUGUAGCAUGGUGCCAUACUUAGGAAACUUAAAGAGAAGAGCCACGAUGCACUUUCAAAAUAGCUCCAACAUCAAGCAUGAAAAUCUUCUUAAUGUCAAACCCGUCGCAUUUGAUGAAGUAGAUGAACAAUGGUACAUAUUCUAUGAUGAGUUCAAAUGCCCAUUUGCUCAGUUGACCAACAAUAUCGUUUGUACCAAGAAAUGGUGGAGAACGUCCGUUAAGAAGAUACUUGAGAUGUUGGAGUAUAUGCAUAAUAAUAACCAAACACAUGAAAGCUUAAAUAAAGCUUCUAGUUACGUGGUUGUUGGUGAAGAUUUGAAGAUAUUGAACAUUAAAAGUGUGGAUGAAAGCCAAAAGAUUAGCCAAAAAUUUCAAGAUCUUUCAGACUUUGGCGAGUUUAUCUCCGAUACGUUACCUACGACGAUAGUGGACAAGACACUAUUUCUUGGUUGCUUCAAAAUUGAUGGACCGGCUUGUGUAUUGAAGUAAGUAAACAACUUUAUUAGUAAGUAAAACUAUUUUCCUAUUGUUCUUAUAUGCCGAAGACAUUUUGUUUUUUCCCCUCCUAGUUAUGGGGAUUUUAUCAGUGUGCUCAUCUAUAAUCUGAGUCUGAUUAGUGAGUUCAAAAGGCUCUAUUAUUUUGCGGAUAUUCGCCAAUCGAAAAGACAUGAACAAGGCUCAAUGGUUCCCACUUUCACAAGGUUAUUAAAGGCUCAACUUUCAUAGAUUUUAGAGAUUGGGACACCAAGAUUGUUGAAGAUGGUUGAAAUCUAUGAAAGUUGAGGCUUUAAUAACCUUGUUAAAGUGGGAACCGUUGAGCCUUGUUCUAUGUCUUUUCGAUUAGUGAAUAUCGGCAAAAUAAUCGACCCUUUUGAACUCACUCAUCAGACUCGGAUGAUUGAUGAGCACACUGAUAAAAUCCCCAUAACUAGGAGAGGAAAAAACAAAAAGUCUUCAGCAUAUAAGAACAAUAGGCAAAUAGUUUUACUUACUAAUAAAGUUGUUUACUUACUUAAAUAAGCAAGCCGGUCCAUUAAUUUUGAAGCAACCAAGAAAUAGUGUCCUGUCUACUAUUGUCGUAGGUAACAUAUCAGAGAUAAACUCGCCAAAGUCUGAAAGAUCUUGAAAUUUUUGGCUAAUCUUUUGGCUCUCAUCCACACUUUUAAUGUUCAAUAUCUUCAAAUCUUCACCAACAACCACGUAACUAGAAGCUUUAUUUAAGCUUGCAUGUGUUUGGUUCUUGUUAUGCAUAGACUCCAACAUCUCAAGUAUUUUCCUACAGAUAAAGAUAGUAACGAAUGAUAAAUUUACCAAACCUACACAGAUAGUCACACACAAGCAAACACGCACACACAUAUUAAAAAACACAUUAACACUUACUUAACGGACGUUCUCCACCAUUUCUUGGUACAAACGAUACUGUUGGUCAAAUGGGCAUUUGAACUCAUCAUAGAAUAUAUACCAUUGUUCCUCUACUUCAUCAAAUGCGACGAGUUUGGCAUUAAGAAGAUUUUCAUGCUUGAUGUUGGAGCUAUUUCGAAAGUGCAUCGUGGCUCUUCUCUUUAAGUUUCCUAAGCAUGGCACCAAGCUACACUUUGUUCUUUCUCCGUCUUCAAAGUAUAAUGUUACUUGUCUCGGUGUUGUGAAAGUGUAGUGGUCACCUUCAUAUUCAAUUUCAUACGGGAUAAUACUUGCGCCAAUAAUAUGAAUAGAAAUAGCCAAGAUAUAAACUAAUAAGUAAUAUAGGUUGAAGGUCUACAAAAUCAUCCUAAAGAAUUUCAUAUGUAUACAUAUCAAAUUAACAAACCUUACUAUGCCUUCUAACUAACCUAACCAAUAGGUAAACUAGAGAACAUUAAAAUAUGUGUGACUAGUAGCAAAACAUAUGGUUGACAAUUCUUCUCAUAAUAUUCAUGAAUUCAAUUACUUUGGAAGUUAAUUGGCAUGCAAACGAACAUUCAAAUUUCUUCAGAAACAUAUGACCAGACAACCUGUUUCGUAUUGAGAGUAGUAGAAAUGAUUAGUCAAAUAUAAGCAAAUCACAGAUGAAAAUUAGAUACAUACCUUUCCUUUUAAUUUCUUGGCAAGGUACCGAUGCUUCACUCCAUUCAACAUGAACUGCUUACGGGGCAAUGUAUGGGCAGGCUCGUCUCUUGAUUCAAUUUCAGAAUCUGUGUCGUCAAGGACUGAUGUCACUUGGACUUUUGUACUCGCUCUCCCCUAAUUGUUCACUUGGACCAUCUUCAUCGUCAACGAGUGAUGAAUCACUUGGAUUUUCAUACUCAUUCUCAGAUGCGGGUGUAGGAGGAGUAGCUUGAGAUGUUGGCGUAGUAGGCUGAUUGUGAGUCCCUCCCCUUCCACUUUUUUUUUUGUCUUACUUCUUGGAUGACUUCAGCGAGACGAAAAAGAGCGUGGUGACGACAACAAUGCUCAAUACAAAAAGAAUCCAAGUGAUGGGCGCCAUUUGAAGACGAUGCAUAGCAUGCACACUGUAUUAUUUAAUUUAACGAUCAAAUACUGAACAAAACGUAAUUAAUCAAGCAAGGCACUUAAUUAUACAAGUAUUAUUGCAAUAUAAAUAUAGAUACGAGUAUUCGUCACUGACAUCACUAUUGUCCUAAAAUAUGUCGCAAAUUCAAGUUCUAUGAGAAUGAUUCUAAUUUUUUUAAUUUAACAUAUUUAUUUCCAUUUGAGAGAGAGAAAAUAAAAACCAAUAAGAGAGUAGAAAUUAGAUGAAUUAAACCACUGUGAAAUGCAUUUUUGACACAUUUUUAAAAAUCCACGGACCAACUUGAAACCAAAAAAAUAAGGACCAAAGUGGAAAAACCACUAAAUAUCUGGGACCAAAUUUGUAAUUAACUCUAAUUUUAGUUUCACUAAAUAAUAAAUAAAGCUGCCUUGGUGUGAGUUUCCAAAGGUACUCAUUACUGUAGAGGGUUUCGAUUGCAGAGCAAAAUUGCAUCAGAGACUCCAUAACAGUUGAUUUUCCCAUUCUCGCUAUCUCAUCCAUUUAAUUUGCAAAUGCUCUAUAUGCAAGCAUUCGCAAGAUAGUAGUAAUUUUUUGCUUAGGAAGAAGAAUACAUAGAACAUGAAAAGCAUCUUUUUUUUUUGUUGCACA